GAGCAAGGGCGUCGAAAUAUUAUCAUUGACGUGAAUUGCAUUGAAGGUUGGCAAAAUCAAAUCGCGAUUCUCCGUGCCUAUCAAAUCUCUUUCAUGUUGAUAAUGGCCUCGAACAAAUCGCUACAUU